GGCCUUUUGGUGCUUACCACAGGCUGUACUUUUUCACUGACUGAAUAGAGAGAGGAGGCAGAGUAAACCUCUCCUACAUACGCCUCAGUCCAAGCCUGGCCUGCAGUAUGAAUGGAGCAAUAUGG
rfam:Callithrix jacchus chromosome 19, whole genome shotgun sequence